GACGAACGCUGGCGGCGUGCCUAAUACAUGCAAGUAGAACGCUGAAGGAGGAGCUUGCUCUUCUGGAUGAGUUGCGAACGGGUGAGUAACGCGUAGGUAACCUGCCUGGUAGCGGGGGAUAACUAUUGGAAACGAUAGCUAAUACCGCAUAACAGUAGAUGUUGCAUGACAUUUACUUAAAAGGUGCAAUUGCAUCACUACCAGAUGGACCUGCGUUGUAUUAGCUAGUUGGUGGGGUAACGGCUCACCAAGGCGACGAUACAUAGCCGACCUGAGAGGGUGAUCGGCCACACUGGGACUGAGACACGGCCCAGACUCCUACGGGAGGCAGCAGUAGGGAAUCUUCGGCAAUGGACGGAAGUCUGACCGAGCAACGCCGCGGGAGUGAAGAAGGGUGUCGGAUCGUAAAGCUCUGUUGUAAGAGAAGAACGAGUGUGAGAGUGGAAAGUUCACACUGUGACGGUAUCUUACCAGAAAGGGACGGCUAACUACGUG
rnacentral:rRNA from 1 species